CUGAGCUUGGAAGGAAGAGGAAAGAGCUGCAGAGGCAGAGACUCUGACCCCAAAGCGAUCGAGGGCCCUCCCCUGGCUUCCGUGUCCCUGUGGCAGGCGGUGGUGGUCGAAAUCUCUGCCCCUCAGAGUCCUGGGGAGGAUGGAUGGAACAGGAGGAGCAUCAUGAGAAGGCUUCCUGUAAACUACGGAGGGUGCUCAUGGAAGCCAGCAGAGGGUGUAGGGUCUCCUGGAGCCACAUCUCUGGAGUUACAUGAAGUUGUGAACCUCUCAACAUGGGUUCUGGGAACUGAACCCAGGUCCUCUAGAAGGACAUCGAGUGCUCUUAACCACUGAGCCAUCUCUGCAGCCUAACCCCAUCCCUUGGAGGCUGAAGCAAAGCAAGUUCAAUGACUGUGCGAUCUGGCUCUUGUUUGGGCCUAAGGAAAAGCCGACUUUAAGCCGGGAAGCAUCUCUGGCAAGAACAAGGAAGGAUUAAGCACGUCU
rnacentral:lncRNA from 1 species